GUUUUUAGCACAUUCUUCUUUGGAUUUCUACAACUUGUAAUCCUAUAUAUAGGGCCUAAGAGCCACGAAAUAAGAUAAGCUUUUUCCCCCUUUUAUUUGAGUUUAUCUAUUUGUUCUUUGUAGAACACUUCUUUGUUUCUUGGUGAGGUUAUCUCCGAGUAAACAGCCUCUAAUUCGUUGGACCUGUGCGUCAUAUCAGGCAACGUUUAGAAAUCCUUCUUUUGGUGGACUUGUGAGUCAUAUCAAGCACCAACUGAAGUCUGGUAGUAUCAUUGGGCCAUCCGCAACCCAUUGUGUCACCGUUCAAUCCAUCAGUUCUCCCUUUUGGCGAGUUCAUAUCCCUUUAGUCCGGUCGAGUGAUCCUUCCCUAUUUUAGGGCGUAUCACCUUUCUUCCGUAGUCUGCAGUAAUAAAUCGCUCUCUCCGGAACUUGAAACCUAGAUUUCCUGUAUUCUACAAUAAAUUGCAAAGUCUGGGAUUCGAACCCUAGAACUGGGUGUAGAAGUCUUUAAACCUUAACCAUUAUGCUACGGUGUUUCCACCGAUGAGAUAUUCUUGAUUGAUAAUUUGUCUUUUAUUUUAGAGUUUUACACAUUUCUCGGUUGAUUCAUGUUACGCUAAGCCAUCAAUAUAAUAAAAUACUAUACUCCAUUAAUAAUCUGUACAGAAACAUAGGUCUAAAUGAAACCAUAUUCCAUUUUACGCGUUAGCAUCGAGACACAUGCAUGGACCACCUUACCACUUAAUUCCUUUGUACUAAAUGUUUACUAAAGUGGUUGAGCUGUCAAAACUUUAGACUCACUAUGAUUAUUUAUAAAACUCUUUCAACAUAUCAAAGCUUUCGGAUCAUGUCGCCAUUGUCUGCUUACAAUUUAACUUCUAUUUACAGUUCUUUUUCCAAUACAACUUUCUGAAGACCAUAUUGGCAUUUAUCCUGAUGUUUCAGCAUUAUUUGAUUGCGUCGACACAUUUGAAUUCUGUGCAUAUAUAUGUAGUCUGGUGGUUAAAUAAUUACAAGUGUUAGGUUACUGAAUGCAGCCUAUUAAGUUUAUCUAGGGUUAAACUUAAGCGUUAUAGGAGAAAUAAGCCCAAGGCCAUAACACUUGCUUGAGAAGAACAAGCAAUACAUCCAAGAACCUGCCACCGUGGAGAAGUACCAAGAGUUGUCUAAGCAGCUUCUGUACACCCGUCUUGCUAGGUGUCCUCAACUUAUUGCGAGGCGAGGAAACUAUGUUGCAAAUGCAGGCAGCAUGUAUACCUUUAGUACUUACAGGGCGUGAUUUUUGUGUCAGUGCAAUCACUGGAUCAGGUAAGUUAUACUUGUUUUUGUGUAUUAUCAGUCAUGGUCUCUUGUUUUCUUGUGUAAAGAUUUGUCAAGGACUUGUAAAGAAUCAGACUGAUUGAUGAUGCUUUGUGUUUAUAUAAACUAUGUAAACACCAAACUUUUAUUCACAACACAACACUCUUCUUCAUUCAUCA